rnacentral:rRNA from 1 species
GAUGAACGCUGGCGGCGUGCCUAAUACAUGCAAGUCGAGCGAACGGACGAGAAGCUUGCUUCUCUGAUGUUAGCGGCGGACGGGUGAGUAACACGUGGAUAACCUACCUAUAAGACUGGGAUAACUUCGGGAAACCGUAGCUAAUACCGGAUAAUAUUUUGAACCGCAUGGUUCAAAAGUGAAAGACGGUCUUGCUGUCACUUAUAGAUGGAUCCGCGCUGCAUUAGCUAGUUGGUAAGGUAACGGCUUACCAAGGCAACGAUGCAUAGCCGACCUGAGAGGGUGAUCGGCCACACUGGAACUGAGACACGGUCCAGACUCCUACGGGAGGCAGCAGUAGGGAAUCUUCCGCAAUGGGCGAAAGCCUGACGGAGCAACGCCGCGUGGGUGAUGAAGGUCUUCGGAUCGUAAAACUCUGUUAUUGGGAAAGACCAUAUGUGUAAGUAACUGUGCACAUCUUGACGGUACCUAAUCAGAAAGCCACGGCUAACUACGU